UGCGUAGGCGGAAAUUUAAGUCAGUGGUGAAAUCCUGCGGCUCAACCGUAGAACUGCCAUUGAUACUGAAUUUCUUGAAUAUAGUUGAGGUAGGCGGAAUGUGUAAUGUAGCGGUGAAAUGCUUAGAUAUUACACAGAACACCGAUUGCGAAAGCAGCUUACUAAACUAUUAUUGACGCUGAUGCACGAAAGCGUGGGGAGCGAACAGGAUUAGAUACCCUGGUAGUCC
rnacentral:rRNA from 1 species